rnacentral:lncRNA from 1 species
CCGCCGAUGCGGCAACAGUGGCGGCGGCGUCGCCUUUGGUGAUGCCGCCGCCGGCGGAGCUGUCGUCUUCUUCCCCCAUCCGUCCAUUGAUCAUCCUCCUCCACACGUCACUUCAACUGCCGCCGUUGCGGCAACAGCGGCGGCGGCGUCGCCUUUGGUGAUGCCGCCGCCGGCGGAGCUUUCAUCAUCUUCCCCCAUCCGUCCAUUGAUCAUCCUCCUCCACACGUCACUUCAACUGCCGCCGUUGCGGCAACAGUGGCGGCGGCGUCGCCUUUGGUGAUGCCGCCGCCGGCGGAGCUGUCGUCAUCUUCCCCCAUCCGUCCAUUGAUCAUCCUCCUCCACACGUCACUUCAACUGCCGCCGAUGCGGCAACAGGGGCGGCGGCGUCGCCUUUGGUGAUGUUGCCGCCGGCGGAGCUGUCGUCUUCUUCCCCCAUCCGUCCAUUGAUCAUCCUCCUCCACACGUCACUUCAACUGCCGCCGUUGCGGCAACAGUGGCGGCGGCGUCGCCUUUGGUGAUGCCGACGCCGGCGGAGCUGUCGUCUUCUUCCCCCAUCCGUCCAUUGAUCCUCCUCCUCCACACGUCACUUCAACUGCCGCUGUUGCGGCAACAGCGGCGGGGGCGUCGCCUUUGGUGAUGCCGCCGCCGGCGGAGCUGUCGUCUUCUUCCCCCAUCCGUCCAUUGAUCCUCCUCCUCCACACGUUACUUCAACUGCCGCCGAUGCGGCAACAGUGGCGGCGGCGUCGCCUUUGGUGAUGCCGCCGCCGGCGGAGCUUUCAUCAUCUUCCCCCAUCCGUCCAUUGAUCCUCCUCCUCCACACAUCACUUCAACUGCCGCCGUUGCGGCAACAGUGGCGGCGGCGUCGCCUUUGGUGAUGCCGCCGCCGGCGGAGCUGUCGUCUUCUUCCCGCAUCCGUCCAUUGAUCAUCCUCCUCCACACGUCACUUUAACAGCCGCCGAUGCGGCAACAGCGGCGGCGGCGUCGCCUUUGGUGAUGCCGCCGCCGGCGGAGCUGUCGUCUUCUUCCCCCACCCGUCCAUUGAUCCUCCUCCUCAACACGUUACUUCAACUGCCGCCGAUGCGGCAACAGCGGCGGCGGCGUCGCCUUUGGUGAUGCCGCCGCCGGCGGAGCUGUCGUCUUCUUCCCCCAUCCGUCCAUUGAUCAUCCUCCUCCACACGUCACUUCAACUGCCGCCGAUGCGGCAACAGCGGCGGCGGCGUCGCCUUUGGUGAUGCAGCCGCCGGCGGAGCUGUCGUCUUCUUCCCCCACCCGUCCAUUGAUCCUCCUCCUCCACACGUUACUUAAUAUAUUGUAUAUUGUGGUUACAGUGUUUCCGCCGCCGACGCGGCGGGUGCCCUCACGAGCCGUGAGGCUCCAGAGCACGCUGUUGACGCUCAUCAAAAACCUCAGUAAGGAAAGUAGCGAUUUUCCUCGGAUUGGUACUAAGAAAUACCUUGCGCAUAUCAGUAUCUUCAACGUUAAUCAGAAACCUAUUACGCAACUCAGUAUACGCCUCACACUCCAUAAGCACAUGAUAUUCAUCCUCAACCUUACCCGACGUACAGACCUGACACGUACGGCACUCUCUCGGCCUAUGGUGUCCUUUGUUGACCUCCAAAGGCCAACAACAAAGACGGAAUUUGGCAACCAUACGCAACUGGUUGACCGGCAAAUAAACACGCAAAUAGCCUGUGGGAUCGGAGCCCUCUCUUGCUGGUGAAGGGGAGCCCAUCCAGUUAUGAUACCUGCAAAGCGAAACCCCUUUACCUUGGAACACACGCGGAUCACCCCCUUGGCUGAACUGAUCCCAGUCACUUAAAAGGAACGCAGAUAACCUCUCCAGAACCUCACCCACUCGAAUCAACUGAGACGAGUAUACAUCUACCUUCUGAGAAACGGAGUCACACGCCGGCCACUCAUGGCCCAACCAACGCAAAAUGAUGAGCACUUUAGACGACCAGCAAUCCACUUUGAGAUCAGACAGAAGAGCCAGACGGAGAUCAUCUACUAACACGUCAUGAUAGACCGACCCACGGGACUUGACUAUCUUAUUCCAGAAACACAACGCAAGGCGUAACCAAAAGUACUGCAAAGGCAACUGAGACAGCUCCCUGUACAACAGCUUGUAAGGUACCUGCUUGAGCCCAGCACAACGUAAACAGAAGUCACGCUGGACCUGGACCAUACCAUCUUCCAAAGCCAAAUCAAAAUAUGACUUACCAGCGGGUAAAACACCUUAACCUAACCGCAGGACGGAGACAAUCCUAUCAGGACCCCAGACCUCAGCACCAUAACAGAGAACCGAACGGACCUGGGUGUCGAACGCUUGAAGCCGAACGGCAGGAGCCCACACCCUGUUCUCAUCCAACCGAUUACUAAGACCGAACAUAGCCCGUCGCCCUGCUUCCAAAAGUUCGUUGACACAACUCGCAAACGGGGACGCAGGGCCCCAAUAGAGACCCAAGUACCUAACGCGACCACACCAGUUAAUAGGACUAGGAACAAGUAAACUACCAACCAUGGGUGGGUGCCAAAGCGACCCAUCAGUACGGAGAGGGAGCAUGAGCCUCACCCCCUCAAACGCCCUCUUAACGACAUCAACGGAAGCAGCCACAACAAGGGCCUCACAUUUCCGAACGUUGCAGCGCAUACCAAAAGCAGCACAGAACUCAAUAAGCAGCUUAAGCGAGAACUGGAGGCGUGCCAACGAGGUCGCGAACAAAGUAAGGUCGUCUGCAUAGAACAACAGAGGCAACCGACGAUCAUUAAUGACAGGACAUUCGUGUGCACGUGUGUUGAACCAUUCGUCCAUACCAUCCCUCGCUUCAAGGUAGUCGGCAAUAACCUCAAUGAAGAACCCGAACAAAUUGGGACUCAUGGGACACCCCUGCUUCACGCCCUGCAGAGAGGCAAAGAUGGACCCUAGGCGACCGUUAACCUUGACCCGCUGGAGAACACGUUCGUAGCUGGCUUUAAGGGCCGCCAACAUGGGUCCAUGCACACCCCUCUCCUCUAGACGCUGCCACAGGCUCGCCCGGGGCACUCUAUCAAAGGCUUUCUCAAAAUCCACCUGACACGCAUACAGGGCCUGAUUGCUGCCGGGCCGCUCAUAACGACUUUUAAGAUGACGAACAACGAACAACUGAUGAACUGUACUGCGCUUUUGACGGGACCCAGCCUGAAAACGGCACCGGACACCAUCUUUAUCCCCGAAAGCUGCCAGCCGCCUGUCGAGAACCGUGGCAUAGCAUUUGGCAAUGGCGCAUCCCACAGCUAGACCCCUGUAGUUGUCCUUGACCCUGGGGUCGCCUUUCUUAAAUAACGGACUGAGAGACGCCACGCAAAACUGGUCAGGCACAUCCCCUGUAUCCCAAAUGUGCUGGAAAAGGUCUCGAAUCGCAGGGGCAAUAACAUUGACAGACACCCUGUCCUCAUCACCUUCACGAGGGAUUCGCUUGGCAUACUUGUAGCACUCGGCCGGAACCAUACCCAGACCCGGGGACGCCCAUUAGACANNNNNNNNNNNNNNNNNNNNNNNNNNNNNNNNNNNNNNNNNNNNNNNNNNAACAGCGGCGGCGGCGUCGCCUUUGGUGAUGCCGCCGCCGGCGGAGCUGUCGUCUUCUUCCCCCACCCGUCCAUUGAUCCUCCUCCUCAACACGUUACUUCAACUGCCGCCGAUGCGGCAACAGCGGCGGCGGCGUCGCCUUUGGUGAUGCCGUCGCCGGCGGAGCUUUCAUCAUCUUCCCCCAUCCGUCCAUUGAUCAUCCUCCUCCACACGUCACUUCAACUGCCGCCGUUGCGGCAACAGUGGCGGCGGCGUCGCCUUUGGUGAUGCCGCCGCCGGCGGAGCUUUCAUCAUCUUCCCCCAUCCGUCCAUUGAUCAUCCUUCUCCACACGUUACUUCAACUGCCGCCGUUGCGGCAACAGCGGCGGCGGCCUCGCCUUUGGUGAUGCCGCCGCCGGCGGAGCUGUCGUCUUCUUCCCCCAUCCGUCCAUUGAUCAUCCUCCUCCACACGUCACUUCAACUGCCGCCGAUGCGGCAACAGCGGCGGCGGCGUCGCCUUUGGUGAUGCCGCCGCCGGCGGAGCUGUCGUCUUCUUCCCCCAUCCGUCCAUUGAUCCUCCUCCUCCACACGUCACUUCAACUGCCGCCGAUGCGGCAACAGCGGCGGCGGCGUCGCCUUUGGUGAUGCCGCCGCCGGCGGAGCUUUCAUCAUCUUCCCCCAUCCGUCCAUUGAUCAUCCUCCUCCACACGUCACUUCAACUGCCGCCGAUGCGGCAACAGCGGCGGCGGCGUCGCCUUUGGUGAUGCCGCCGCCGGCGGAGCUGUCGUCUUCUUCCCCCAUCCGUCCAUUGAUCCUCCUCCUCCACACGUUACUUCAACUGCCGCCGAUGCGGCAACAGUGGCGGCGGCGUCGCCUUUGGUGAUGCCGCCGCCGGCGGAGCUGUCGUCUUCUUCCCCCAUCCGUCCAUUGAUCAUCCUCCUCCACACGUCACUUCAACUGCCGCCGAUGCGN